rnacentral:lncRNA from 1 species
UCUCAAACCUUAUGGGCCUUAGUGGGAACUUACUCCAGCCCACUAGAGGCUGGUUUAUCUCUUCCCAUAGCACAUGAGACCCCUUGGGGCGUGACACCCCUCCCUAUGGUCCCCGGCAUCCCUCCCGGCACUCCCGGUACACUAUCGAUGAGCCCAAAACUUUUCCGGUGACCAUAACAGGACUUCCUAUAUAUCAAUCUUUACCUCCGGACCAUUCGGAGCUCCUCGUGACGUCCUGGAUCUCAUCUGGGACUUCGAACAACUUUCGAUUACCAACACCUAUA